AUUUUCUUAGGGACUCCUGAGACAUGGUUCAUUUAUUUACUGGAUCAGUAAGGCACACAAGUAACAAUUACAAUUAACAUUUAUUUACAAAGUAAAGGGAAGACCUGUGUAACAUGAGAAUUUGGCACGGACAAAUGGAGAUCAUUUUGUAUCUGCUGUUGUGUCUGUCCAGGUUGCAGACGUGCACUAUUAAAGUCCCCAGUUAAUAGAGCACAACCCCCUCUCGGUCCUCUCCCAGGCGCCCCUUUCUAGAUGUGUUUAUCUUAAACUCGAUGGCUCAGGAAAAUUCCACUAAUUAGAGUUGUGUACAGUGUCCCAGGUUGUUGUCCAGAUAUCCAAGUUUGCUGAUUUUAGUUAAGCCUGGAUUAUCACUUUUCCUAAAUUAUUGUAAACAGAACAGCUUAGAGAAAGAUGUUCUCGGCCCUUAUAUUGUAUAGUAGUUUAUGAUCCCCUCUAAAUAUUGGUAUUUUUAUAUUCCAGAGAUAUACCCAAUAGAAAAAAUUUAAACCAGUAUCUAAUUUAAUAUCCAUAAGUAUUUUUCCUUAGCGUUUAGUCAUAUGCAGCGGGAUAUGUGGAUGUCACUUGUGCUUCACCAUACUCUACCACUAGGUGUCACUGUGACUCUGCAUCAUACUUACCUGGUUACAAAGAAUGGCUUCGUGGAGCUGCUGCCAGUGCAGCUGGCAGGCCCUUAGACUAGAGGUUCAGGAAGAAGGGAAUAAAAGCCUGGAGGGUCUUCAUGUAUCCAUGCCACCUGUAGCAAGACAGACUCUGAACACCACCUGUCCGGGAGGUUACAUUGAGCUCUCUUUCUCCCCAUUAGAACCGUUCCUCUUAGUUCCACUCAGCCUCCGACUUUUCUAACUCUAGAAGUAUCGUGGUUGGGUGGUUGAUUAAAGAUGGUUAUUUUUCUACUGCAGAAAUGCCUUGGACAAAACCAGUUGCUCACUGAAUCUUUGCCACACAAUGGAACAGGCUCCCCAGGUGGCAGGAUAUGCUGCCUCUGUGCCCAUCUUCUGUUGAGCCUCUGCACGCUCAGCAGCCCCACCCACCCUACCCGUCUGCCCUCAGGCUGCCCAGUUCUCAAGAAGGGGUCUGCUCCCGCCUUUACUCUGAGGGCCAUACUGCCCUGCCACGUGCUUGUUGAGAGGUGUGACUUCUCCUUUUCCUCUGGGAAUUCCAGACUGACCAUCUACCAUGACUAACAGUGAACAAAGGGCUUAGGGUAAGAGCUACCUACAAAGACGCGUCAUGGAAACCUUCACCAUGCAAUGCCUUGAACUCAGCUCUGGCUGCUCCCAAGAAAAGGCAGCUGGCUAGGGGCCUGGACACAAGCACACCGGGGCUGGUGGAGCCACUGUGCAGAGCUACUUGAACACUCACUGGGUCUUCAUCAACUCUUUUUGUAAUACAGACCACUCAAGGGCUGAAGUGUUGGUAACCUUCAUUUCGGUGUCUGAUGCCUCACAGCAGCUGAGCCACCCUGAGAUGCUUGUGGCCACAGGAUGGCCACAGUCAGAGCUUUGAAAGUCAGUACCAAAUGAACGUGUAAUUGGACACCAAAAAUCAAGUGUUACUCUCAUGUUUCUCACCCUAUCAUCUCAUUUUUUCCUGCUGACUGUGAUCCCUACACUAAGCUGACCAGUCAGGCUGCAGCUGGCUGCCCAAGAUGCCAGCCAGCACCAUCUCCUGGUUUCAGAUAGACCUACUCCGUGGAAAGGACAUGGCCUAGCUGCUUUGUUUCUGUAGCACUUGAUGGCUGGAGUUUUUCCUUUGCUAAUCACUAACCAGAAAAUCUGGCUAGGACUCAACACACUCCCUUCAAUCCCCAGGACCAGACAGAGAGUUAAUUCUGGAAAAUUCAGUACUUGAAUGUACCUGCCUUACUGUGUACCCAUUCACUGGGGGAGGGGGAGUUAGAGAUGUUGGCUCUAGAUAUCCACUUCAUUCAAGGUUAUUUUGGAAAUCCUGUAAGUUCUAUUUCCUGUCCUGGUUUGGUUUGCUUUGCCUUGCCUUUGUUUUGUUUUGUUCUUUGACAUUUGGCUGAUUUCCUGCUGAGUUGGGCCGGUUCCCUGUGGGGCCCAGGGCAGGUGCCCUUCUCAGGCAUGGCCUCCUUCCAUCUAGCACAGCAUCUGUCUCUCUGUCCUGUCUCCUCCAAACCCAAGAUGAUUUUAAUUAGUACAGACAUGUACAGUCGACAAUUACAGAGUGAUUUGUACUAAUAUGAUUUUGAUUAUUCCUCUUUGCUGUCCUUUCAAGACACUUGCUGGAAAAAGCUUUAAUGCACUUAGUUUUCCUUUAGGUUUUCUAUAACUCAGAUGUAAAGGACUCUCUCUGUACAGUAUAUUAUCCAAUGCAUGUUUGUUCUCUAUCCUGAUAUAUCGAACACCACACGGUCGUGAACUUGUGCAGUGGGGAUGCCCCACACCCAGCGGAGGCCUCCAGCCCCGUGUAUAAGGAAGACAUUUUCUCUACUGUACUUGCUUGAACAGUUUUAUUGUCUGUACAUGUGAGCUGUGUGAGAUAGAUGUGAAAAGUUCAAAUGAAUGCAUUUUCCUGCCCCAUGUAUACAGAGCGUCAUCUGUACAAUGAACUGUAUGUAUGAAAGCAAAUGUACGUAUUUAUAAAUGGUCAACACUUGGAGAAA
rnacentral:lncRNA from 1 species